rnacentral:lncRNA from 1 species
UGCGUCAAGGGCGGAAGAAGAGGCGGAGGAUCUAGAUCUGGCUGCACCGCGUGGGACUCGUAGCUGGAAUGGGAGGGAGAACGCGAAUCUCGGCCGUGAUGCACUGCGGGGAAGAAGAUGAACAGUGGAGUUUUUAUCUUUUAUAUUUUUUUUGUAACACUAUUCAUAUGAACAGUGUUUUCACGGAACACUGUUCAUAUGAACAGUGAAUCUAGUAAUUUUUCUUGAAAUUAUUGUGGAUAUUUAACUAUUAUUUUUUUGUUUUUAAAAUUAUAAAUUUUAUAUGAAGGCAGGUAAGAAAUUGGUUGGGAAUUGGCUUUGGAUUUGAGGUGGGUCAUGAUUGUUGAUUUGCUUGAACUUGUUCUCGAGCCCAAUGUCAUUUAAAUUUAAUUCUUGCUAAAUUGCUUCAGACCGGACUCGACAAGACUAAAAACAGGAUCGUGACUUAAUAAAAAGGGUUAAUCAAACCUUUUUCUCCAUACAAAAAUAAUUAUCUAAUCAGGACCAAAACCUAUUUAAUCAUAGCUUUAACUUGGUUACAACUCCAUCAGGUUACUAAACCAGGUCAACACAACCUUGUGGAGU